AACCUCCGCAAUGUGAGAAAUCGCGACGGGGGGAUCCCAAGUGCCAUUCUUAACGGGAUGGCUUUUCAUUAGUGUAAAGAGCUUUUGGAAUAAGAGCUGGGCAAGACCGGUGCCAGCCGCCGCGGUAACACCGGCAGCUCUAGUGGUAACAAUUUUUAUUGGGCCUAAAGCGUCCGUAGCCGGUUUAAUAAGUCUCUGGUGAAAUCCUGUAGCUUAACUGUGGGAAUUGCUGGAGAUACUAUUAGACUUGAGACCGGGAGAGGUUAGAGGUACUCCCAGGGUAGAGGUGAAAUUCUGUAAUCCUGGGAGGACCGCCUGUUGCGAAGGCGUCUAACUGGAACGGUUCUGACGGUGAGGGACGAAAGUUAGGGGCGCGAACCGGAUUAGAUACCCGGGUAGUCCUAACUGUAAACGAUGCGGACUUGGUGUUGGGGUGGCUUUGAGCUGCUCCAGUGCCGAAGGGAAGCUGUUAAGUCCGCCGCCUGGGAGUACGGUCGCAAGACUGAAACUUAAAGGAAGU
rnacentral:rRNA from 1 species